rnacentral:rRNA from 1 species
GACGAACGCUGGCGGCGUGCUUAACACAUGCAAGUCGAACGGAAAGGCCCUGCUUUUGUGGGGUGCUCGAGUGGCGAACGGGUGAGUAACACGUGAGUAACCUGCCCUUGACUUUGGGAUAACUUCAGGAAACUGGGGCUAAUACCGGAUAGGAGCUCCUGCUGCAUGGUGGGGGUUGGAAAGUUUCGGCGGUUGGGAAUGGACUCGCGGCUUAUCAGCUUGUUGGUGGGGUAGUGGCUUACCAAGGCUUUGACGGGUAGCCGGCCUGAGAGGGUGACCGGCCACAUUGGGACUGAGAUACGGCCCAGACUCCUACGGGAGGCAGCAGUGGGGAAUAUUGCACAAUGGGCGGAAGCCUGAUGCAGCAACGCCGCGUGCGGGAUGACGGCCUUCGGGUUGCAAACCGCUUUCGCCUGUGACGAAGCGUGAGUGACGGUAAUGGGUAAAGAAGCACCGGCUAACUACGUG